UUCACGUCCUGGCCACCUGGGCCAGCAAAUCAUGGACCAAAAUCUCCAAACCCGCGAGUCAUAAUGCACCCUUGUCCUCUAUAGCUUGUCCACUCAGGUGUCACAGCCAUGAAAAGAGGGCAGCACAGACAUGAAGCACCGUCCCGGAUGUGGCGAAGAGUGAGGAGCCUUAUCUCUGCUGCUGACCUCUGUGUGACCAGGGCCUUUGGGAGAACGAGUGUGAGGACCCUGGAAGGCGCUUUGCCAGGCCGAUCCGGCUGUCCUGCGGUGGGGACACCCACUGGGUUCUACGAGGCGACUUGCACCAAGUCCAAGACCUGAGUGCUGAUGCCACCCGAGUCAAAGGGACCUCAGGCGCCAGACAAACCCUGACAGCCUAAGAAGGCGUUAGUAAGCAGAACGCGUGUGGAGAGUGAAGGAUCAUGGGAAAACCAUGCAACAUAAGGUCUGUUCUGUUCUUUUAAAAAAAUUAGCCAACUGUGUCUACUCCUCCUGUCCCCUGUCAAGGGUACCCUCUUCCUUCCUUCCUUCCUUCCUUCUUUCCUUCCUUCCUUCUUCCUUUCUUUCUCUUUUUUUUCUCUCGCUCUUUCUUUUGCCUUUUUGAGACAGGGUCUCACUAUGUAGCUCAGGCUGGCCUUGGC
rnacentral:lncRNA from 1 species